UGGAACAAAGUCCUAACGAACCACCGCCCCGGGAUUGAAAAAGGUUUCCGAACCGAAAAACUCUGUGGUUAGGAAAAAACAAUUGCCGUUCAAAUAGGGCGGCCCCUUGACGGUCCCUAACCAAAAACCCACGGUUAACUACUUGCCACCACCCCCGGAAUUACUUAGGGGGCAACCGUUGUCCGAAAUUAUUGGCCUUAAACCCCCCCCAGGGGGUUCCUUAAUCCUAAUGUGAAACCCCACGGUUCAACCUGGAAGGGCCAUUGAAAACGGGGAAACUUAAUUGCAAAAAAGAAAAUUGAAAUUCCAAUUGAACCGGUAAAUUCCUUAAAUAUUUGAAGAACCACCAUUGCCAAAGGCAAUUUUCUGGCCGGUAACUAACACUAAGGCCCAAAACCGUGGGAACCAACCAGAAUUAAAUACCCGGGAAUCCCACGCCUUAACCAAUAAUUGCUAAUUGUUAGAGGUUUUCCCCCCUUUACUGCUGCACCUACCCCUUUAGCCACUCCGCCUGGGAAGUACGGUCCGCAGAACUGAAACUUCAAAGGAAUUGACGGGGGCCCCCCACAACCGUUGAAGCAUGUGGUUUAAUUCGAAGCAACGCGAAGAACCUUACCAGGUCUUGACAUCCUCUGACAACCCUAGAAGAUAGGGCUUUUCCCCUUCGGGGGACAGACUGACAAGUUGGUGCAUGGUUGUCGUCAGCUCGUGUCCGUGAAAUGUUGGGUUAAGUCCGGCAACGAGCCCAACCCUUUGAUCUUAGUUGCCAGGCAUUCAGUUG
rnacentral:rRNA from 1 species